rnacentral:rRNA from 1 species
UUGAUCAUGGCUCAGAUUGAACGCUGGCGGCAGGCCUAACACAUGCAAGUCGAGCGGUAACAGGGGAAGCUUGCUUCCCGCUGACGAGCGGCGGACGGGUGAGUAAUGUAUGGGGAUCUGCCCGAUAGAGGGGGAUAACCACUGGAAACGGUGGCUAAUACCGCAUAAUCUCUUAGGAGCAAAGCAGGGGAACUUCGGUCCUUGCGCUAUCGGAUGAACCCAUAUGGGAUUAGCUAGUAGGUGGGGUAAUGGCUCACCUA